CCUUACUGCUAUCGGGAUGAGAUUAAGCCAUGCAAGUCGUGCGCUCUUAAGCUAUGUUGAGAGCGCGGCGAACUGCUCCGUAACACGUAGUUAACCUACCCUAGGGAUGGGGAUAACCCCGGGAAACUGGGAUUAAUACCCAAUAGAUGAUUAUACCUGGAACGGCUUAUCAUCGAAAGAGUCUGGAAACAUGCUUCCAGCGUCGCCCUAGGAUGGGACUGCGUCCGAUCAGGUUGUUGGCGGGGUAACGGCCCACCAAGCCUAUAACCGGUACGGGCCCUGAGAGGGGGAGCCCGGAGAUGGAAACUGAGAAAAGGUUCCAGGCCCUACGGGGUGCAGCAGGCGCGAAACCUCCACAAUGCGCGAAAGCGUGAUGGGGUUAUCCCGAGUGCCGUCCGAUGAGGAUGGCUUUUCAUCGGUGUAAGGAUCCGAUGGAAUAAAGGGGGGGCAAGACUGGUGUCAGCCGCCGCGGUAAUACCAGUCCCCUGAGUGGUAGGGACGAUUAUUUGGCCUAAAGCGUUCGUAGCCGGCUUAACAAGUCUUUUGUUAAAUCCAACGAUUCAAUCGUUGGGCUGCAAAAGAUACUGUUAUGCUAGAGGACGGGAGAGGUCGACGGUAGUCCAGGGGUAGGGGUGAAAUCCUAUAAUCCUUGGAGGACCACCAGUGGCGAAGGCGGUCGACUAGAACGUGCCUGACGGUGAGGGACGAAAGCUGGGGGAGCGAACCGGAUUAGAUACCCGGGUAGUCCCGGCCGUAAACGAUGCGGGCUAGGUGUUGGGGCAGCCACGAGCUGCUCCAGUGCCGCAGAGAAGUUGUUAAGCCCGCCGCCUGGGGAGUACGGCCGCAAGGCUGAAACUUAAAGGAAUUGGCGGGGGAGCACCAAAAGGGGUGAAGGCUGCGGUUU
rnacentral:rRNA from 1 species